rnacentral:rRNA from 1 species
UACGUAGGGUGCAAGCGUUGUCCGGAAUUAUUGGGCGUAAAGCGCACGUAGGCGGCUUAGCAAGUCGGAUGUGAAAGCCCUCGGCUCAACCAAGGAAGUGCAUCCGAAACUGCUGAGCUUGAGUACUUAAGAGGAUCGCGGAAUUCCCGGUGUAGAGGUGAAAUUCGUAGAUAUCGGGAGGAACACCAGUGGCGAAGGCGGCGACCUGGGCCAAUACUGACGCUGAGGCGCGAAAGCUAGGGGAGCGAACAGG